rnacentral:rRNA from 1 species
GAGGUGUGAUGGUGACCCUGUUUUUGGGGGAUAUUGGGUGAUUCUGUGCUGUCUAGAAAAGCCUCGGCGUUAGAGGGUGUGCUGCCCGUACCCUAAACCGACACAGGUGGUUUGGUAGAGAAUACUAAGACGUGCGAGUGAAUCAUGGUUAAGGAACUCGGCAAAAUGCCUCCGUAACUUUGGGAGAAGGAGGACCCGGCCUUUUACAUUACUUUUUCGGUUUUGGUGGGGGUUGGGGCGCAGAGACCAGGGGGAAGCGACUGUUUAUCAAAAACAUAGGUGUGUGCGAAGCCGUAAGGCGAUGUAUACGCACUGACGCCUGCCCGGUGCUGGAAGGUUAAGAGGAACCCUUAACUAGUUUUUGCUGGUGAAGGGGUGAAUUUAAGCCCCAGUAAACGGCGGUGGUAACUAUAACCAUCCUAAGGUAGCGAAAUUCCUUGUCGGGUAAGUUCCGACCUGCACGAAUGGCGUAACGACUUCCCUGCUGUCUCGACCGUGAGCUCGGUGAAAUUGCAUUAUGAGUAAAGAUGCUCGUUUAGCGCAGCAGGACGGAAAGACCCCGGGACCUUUACUAUAGCUUGGUAUUGGUGGUUGAUUAUUCUUGUGUAGGAUAGGUGGGAGACUGUGAGGCCGCGCCGCUAGGUGUGGUGGAGUCGUAAUGUGAAAUACCACUCUGGUGUGAUUGGCUGUCUUAACCUUGGCCCGUGAUCCGGGUUGGGGACAGUGCCUGGUGGGUAGUUUAACUGGGGCGGUUGCCUCCUAAAGGGUAACGGAGGCGCUCAAUGGUUCCCUCAUCCUGGUUGGUAAUCAGGUGUUGAGUGUAAGUGCACAAGGGAGCUUGACUGUGACACUGACGGGUGGAGCAGGUACGAAAGUAGGAACUAGUGAUCCGGCAAUGGCUUGUGGAAGCGUUGUCGCUCAACGGAUAAAAGGUACCCCGGGGAUAACAGGCUGAUCUUGCCCAAGAGUCCAUAUCGACGGCAUGGUUUGGCACCUCGAUGUCGGCUCGUCGCAUCCUGGGGCUGGAGUUGGUCCCAAGGGUUGGGCUGUUCGCCCAUUAAAGCGGUACGCGAGCUGGGUUCAGAACGUCGUGAGACAGUUCGGUCCCUAUCCGCUGCGUUCGUUGGAGAUUUGAGGGGGCCUGUCCCUAGUACGAGAGGACCGGGACGGACGAACCUCUGGUGUGCCAGUUGUACCGCCAGGUGCAUGGCUGGUUUGCUACGUUCGGGAGGGAUAACCGCUGAAAGCAUCUAAGCGGGAAGCCUGCCUUGAGAUUAGAUCUCCUUACACUGUUUUUGGUGUGUGAGGGUCCCAGUAGAUGACUGGGUUGAUAGGCCAGGAAUGUAAGGCUCGUGAGGGUUUGAGUUGACUGGUACUAAUAUCCCGAUUACUAACAAAAU